rnacentral:rRNA from 1 species
UACGUAGGGCGCAAGCGUUAUCCGGAAUUAUUGGGCGUAAAGAGCUCGUAGGCGGUUUGUCGCGUCUGCCGUGAAAGUCCGGGGCUCAACUCCGGAUCUGCGGUGGGUACGGGCAGACUAGAGUGAUGUAGGGGAGACUGGAAUUCCUGGUGUAGCGGUGAAAUGCGCAGAUAUCAGGAGGAACACCGGUGGCGAAGGCAGGUCUCUGGGCAUUAACUGACGCUGAGGAGCGAAAGCAUGGGAAGCGAACAGG